rnacentral:rRNA from 1 species
GGCAUCAUGAGUCCGCAUGUUCACAUGAUUAAAAGGUAUUCCGGUAGACGAUGGGGGAUGCGUUCCAUUAGAUAGUAGGCGGGGGUAAACGGCCCACCUAGUCUUCGAUGGAUAGGGGGUUCUGAGAGGAAGGUCCCCCACAUUGGAACUGAGACACGGUCCAAACUCCUACGGGAGGCAGCAGUGAGGAAUAUUGGUCAAUGGGCGAGAGCCUGAACCAGCCAAGUAGCGUGAAGGAUGAAGGUCCUACGGAUUGUAAACUUCUUUUAUACGGGAAUAAAGUUUCCUACGUGUAGGAUUUUGUAUGUACCGUAUGAAUAAGCAUCGGCUAACUCCGUG